rnacentral:misc_RNA from 1 species
UGUGGGAGCGAGCCUGCUCGCGAUGCAGGCGCCACGGUACGUCUGAAGUAUCGCGGUGAUGCAAUCGCGAGCAGGCUCGCUCCCACA